GAACGGGUGAGUAACACGUGGGCAAUCUGCCCUUCACUCUGGGACAAGCCCUGGAAACGGGGUCUAAUACCGGAUACGAGCCUCCAAGGCAUCUUGGAGGUUGGAAAGCUCCGGCGGUGAAGGAUGAGCCCGCGGCCUAUCAGCUUGUUGGUGAGGUAAUGGCUCACCAAGGCGACGACGGGUAGCCGGCCUGAGAGGGCGACCGGCCACACUGGGACUGAGACACGGCCCAGACUCCUACGGGAGGCAGCAGUGGGGAAUAUUGCACAAUGGGCGAAAGCCUGAUGCAGCGACGCCGCGUGAGGGAUGACGGCCUUCGGGUUGUAAACCUCUUUCAGCAGGGAAGAAGCGAAAGUGACGGUACCUGCAGAAGAAGCGCCGGCUAACUACGUGCCAGCAGCCGCGGUAAUACGUAGGGCGCAAGCGUUGUCCGGAAUUAUUGGGCGUAAAGAGCUCGUAGGCGGCUUGUCACGUCGGGUGUGAAAGCCCGGGGCUUAACCCCGGGUCUGCAUUCGAUACGGGCUAGCUAGAGUGUGGUAGGGGAGAUCGGAAUUCCUGGUGUAGCGGUGAAAUGCGCAGAUAUCAGGAGGAACACCGGUGGCGAAGGCGGAUCUCUGGGCCAUUACUGACGCUGAGGAGCGAAAGCGUGGGGAGCGAACAGGAUUAGAUACCCUGGUAGUCCACGCCGUAAACGGUGGGAACUAGGUGUUGGCGACAUUCCACGUCGUCGGUGCCGCAGCUAACGCAUUAAGUUCCCCGCCUGGGGAGUACGGCCGCAAGGCUAAAACUCAAAGGAAUUGACGGGGGCCCGCACAAGCAGCGGAGCAUGUGGCUUAAUUCGACGCAACGCGAAGAACCUUACCAAGGCUUGACAUACACCGGAAAGCAUUAGAGAUAGUGCCCCCCUUGUGGUCGGUGUACAGGUGGUGCAUGGCUGUCGUCAGCUCGUGUCGUGAGAUGUUGGGUUAAGUCCCGCAACGAGCGCAACCCUUGUUCUGUGUUGCCAGCAUGCCCUUCGGGGUGAUGGGGACUCACAGGAGACCGCCGGGGUCAACUCGGAGGAAGGUGGGGACGACGUCAAGUCAUCAUGCCCCUUAUGUCUUGGGCUGCACACGUGCUACAAUGGCCGGUACUCAGGCUGGAUCACCGUGAGGUGGAGCGAAUCUCAAAAAGCCGGUCUCAGUUCGGAUUGGGGUCUGCAACUCGACCCCAUGAAGUCGGAGUUGCUAGUAAUCGCAGAUCAGCAUUGCUGCGGUGAAUACGUUCCCGGGCCUUGUACACACCGCCCGUCACGUCACGAAAGUUGGUAACACCCGAAGCCGGUGGCCCAACCCCUUGUGGGAGGGAGCUGUCGAAGGUGGGACUAGCGAUUGGGACGAAGUCGUAACAAGGUAG
rnacentral:rRNA from 2 species